rnacentral:rRNA from 1 species
GACGAACGCUGGCGGCGUGCCUAAUACAUGCAAGUAGAACGCUGAAGAGAGGAGCUUGCUCUUCUUGGAUGAGUUGCGGACGGGUGAGUAACGCGUAGGUAACCUGCCUUGUAGCGGGGGAAAAUUAUGGGAAACGAUAGCUAAUCCGGCAUAACAUUAGGUGACACAUUUCAUUUAUUUGAAAGGGGCAAUUGCUCCAUUACAACAUGGACUUGCGUCGUAUUAGUUAGUAGGUGAGGUAACGGCGCACUUAGGGGUCGAUACAUAGCAGACCUGAGCGGGUGGUCGGCCACACUGGGACUGAGACACGGCACAGACGCAUACGGGAGGCAGCAAUAGGGAAUCUUCGGCAAUGGGGGCAACCCUGACCGAGCAACGCCGAGUGAGUGAAGAAGGUUGUCGGAUCGUAAAGCUCUGUUGUAAGUCAAGAACGAGUGUGAGAGUGGAAAGUUCACACUGUGACGGUAGCUGACCAGAAAGGGACGGCUAACUACGUG